GGGACCAAAUACAACGUGAUUGAGACAUUCAGAGAACAUGUCUGAGAGGCCCAAGAAUUCUACUACGCUGCUGCUGCAUAUCCUAUAUCCUUUCUCAUGUCUAAGUGGAAGGCUACCAGAAUAAAGAUGCAGUGCUGAUAUUUAAGCUGAAUUGAAAUAUAUUCUUGUUAUUAAAAAAGGUCAUGCUCCAGUUGUUGAGCUCCUUUCUGCGAAAUACAACUAAAACCCUGGAAAUAACACAUCAGGCAGCCCUGUGGGUGGUGUGAAAAUGAACUUCUUUGGCACCCCAUAAUUGAAGGAACAAUACAACAACCGAAGGUUUGUCGUCAUCCCAUGCAGCAGAAGGAAGAGAUCCUGGCUCAGAGUUCUUACAAUCACCAACCUGGCAAUGACAGGCAACCCAGAUAACUUUAUGUAACCUCUGGAUCAAUUGGGAGUCCCUCUGACAACAGGUUCUGUGAGGAUUAGCUGCUACUGUUCCAGCUGCACCCGCCUCUAGAGAUUGGCUCUGGAAAGACAGAAAUGCCUAACAGGUCAUGUGUCUCCCGUCUCCUUCAGCUAUGCACCGUGAAUGAAUGAUUGAUAAUAGAUUGGAAAACAUCUUAUGAUGGGACAACUUUGUGAGGUAAUUAAUACUCCUGAGCUCUUUGUAAAAUCAAGCUGAGUCUAAACUUCAGGUAAAAACCAUAAAUUUGCUUUUUUUUCUCCUGUUGUGUUCUCACAGAGAACACUAUCUAAAUAAAUAACUUGUACAUAAAUCUCCAUCUCAAAUUCUGCUUCUAAGCAUCUGAAACCAAGGCAUUAUCCAACUGUCAUAAAGAAAAGUAUUCAUUUAGACAAAAUCAAAUGAGAGGAUCGAAGACUUACCUGUUGAAUGUAAAACCAUAUAUGAGAAAAAGGAUGCAUACUUAAUAAUAACUAUACUUCCUAGCUCCUCAUGCCACUUCACAGCAGGUUUGCAACCCAGAAGAAUAAUUGCAUAAUUACUACCAUUGUGAUAGAACGGAUAGCUUGAGAGUAGCUAAGAGUUAAGAACAGGUGGUUAAAAAAAAGGCUGAAAGACAAAUCUAACUUCUUUACUGCCUUAAGCCAUUUCAUCCUUUUCCUUAACCAAAUAGCACUGAACUUUCAACUCUAGUUAGUAUGUGUUUGUUUCUAUGAUGAUAGAACCCUCUGAAAUGAGAUACCAUAGUAAUAGGAUGUUACUGCUUUCAGUCCCAGGAGAAGAUAAACCAGAGACUUAAAUAUAUAUUUUAAUAAGUACAUGUUACAUGUGAAUAUAGUUUACUAAAAUUUUUUGUAGAUAUUUAUAGCUCCCAAGUUCCCAACACAUUGAAUAAUGUCAAUGUGUAGCAUAUUACAGGAUCACACACAUGAACAUCGCUGCCCUGAUGUAUAUGAAAAACAAGCACUGAAAAUACAAGAAUGCAAGAAUAGAAAUAUCCACUUACAUUCUUAUGAACAAGGAGACACUGUUUCUCAUGGUGAGAUGAAUUUAUAGAAAUAACAUUGGCAUAAUGUGAUAAUAAUGGCUGCAUAUGGAGGCAAGGGAAGGAAAUGCUGAGUACCUUCACAUUAGAAUUCAGGAAUCCAAAGGUCAAAAUUAUCAGGUUAAAUUUAUUCAUGCUUUCAUGUGCAAGAUGCUGAAAGUAAGUUUGUGUAAGAGUUUUGAUAAAGGCUCAAAUAUGUAAUUGUUUUCACUUGAUAAAAAUGAGUUGUCUCCUCAAAAUCCUUGCAUGAAAAUUUAUGGAUGACAGUCUGUUGUACCGACAUUUCAUGUUAAGUUAUAUGGUUUUUUUUUAAUUUUCAAAUUUUAUCUGCAUCUAAAUAAGUAAGUGUAUUUUUUAGUGUUCACUUCCCAAUAAUGUAACCUGGCACCAUCUGACAAAAAGAUUGAAACUAUUACAAGUGACUUUAACAUAUUUACAGUAUCUUUUUACUUACAAAUAGUAUGUUCACUUGUUAAGAUGUGCAAGAUAGCUGAUACACUUUAGAGUCUAUUUUGAGAAUUCCUCUUUGCCUCUGAUAACAACCCCAUGGUGAAAUAACAUGUAAAAUAGAGGGAGUUUUUGGAUUGUUUUGGUUUUAUUAUUAUUAUUAUUAUUAUUAUUAUUAUCUUAUAAUUAACUAAACUCAAAGGUAAGAAAGAAAGAAAGAAAGAAAGAAAGAAAGAAGAAACAAAGAAAGAAAGAAAGAAAGGAAAAAGGUAAGAAGAAAGGAGGAAAGGAAGAAAGGAAGAAAAUUUGGAACUAAAUUAAACCAUAAAAGUAAAAUGACAUAUUUUCCAUGUAUUUUUUUGUAGACGGCACCAAAUCUACCUAUGAGAAUACUUCAGUGCAGAAGGAAAAUAAAAGCUAGACAAAAGUCAAAGAACCUCGAAGGGAACAGUUAUAAAAGAUAAAAAUCUUACCAAUACUAAAAGAACACAUGUGUUCUCAGUUACACAUAAUUGAAUUCUGAAUUGUCUUUUAGCUCAUUAUGAUAUGCUGUAUAGGUAUAUAUUUCUCUGAUGUUUCCUAAAUUUUAUUCUUAGGCAGAAAAACUGGUGAACCUCUAGAAACUAACUCAGCAGGGCAGUUAACUGGUACCAAACCCACCUCAGCCGAUUUCUGAUGACAAACCUGUUCUACAAACCUACAAACCUGGAGUAGUGAGACAUACAGAGCCUCAGCAGGACAAAAGAAUCAGUCUUUUCCGAUUAACAACACAGGUUGGAAUACCAUAUGCAAUUGUUUCAUUUUGCCCAGACAAUUGUGAGCUAUUGAUAUCCCUCUCCACCAACAGACACAUUCCUGGCCUCAUCCAGUGUGCAGAAAACCCAUAGAUAGGUGCAGGUUUGAGAUCCUAUGUGAUGUGUUGUGUAUGCAUCCCCUAUAUGUCAUGCAAAACAGAACAUGGGUUACUUAGGCCAAUACUUCCUAAGAGAUUCUUCAGCUCAGAAACCUAUGGUCAUCCAACAACAACUAAAAUGAAAACUUAUCCUAGCAGAGCUUGAUCAAGAUCCAGUGUCCGUCAGAUGAUCUCCAAAUGUCUGGCCCAUUUUAACAUAAUUCCCCUUAAUGUCUUUUGGUAUCAACAUUUGCUUUGAACCUUCAAUUGUGUUAGGUGGCUAAAAUAUUUUUCAUAUAUAAUUUUCAGUCACCAAUUCAAACAUAUGAGAAGUCCUCUUUUGUUUUUUGUUUUUUUUUGAGUUGUACAUAAAAAUGCACAUAUUCAACAUAUUUGUGUCAACAGUCCCAUAAUACAAAAAUAAACUGUGUAACUAAACAGUAUUCCAGCCCAAAGGAGCACAAGUUCCAAAUCUCCUACUUGGUUCAGACUAUAACUCCACUCUCCAAAUAAGAUUUAUGACUCUUCUUGGGACUUGCAUUACUGGGCAGUGAGGGAACUUUCUUUAGGAAGGGGAACAUGUAUCUAAGUCACAACAGAGUUCUGACAGAUUUUCUCCUAGAAAGGAUGGGAAGAUUAAGAGUUACCUGAAAUCCCCUUAAGACUCUUUUGAUGGGAACCAGUGAAGCAAGUUUAAGGUAAUGUCAUUUCUGCUGCUUUAUCAGUACUAUCUAAGAUAUAUUUCACCUUUUAAGCUGCACUAUAUCAGCAUUUUUGGUAAUAGCACAACAAGUUGUCCAAAAUAGAAAGUUGUUCAAAUUGCUUUGCCAAAACUAAUUGUUUUUCUGGUAUUGUGAGAUCUAGAUAAGCUAAAAUUUUCUCAGUAUGAUUGAAAUAAUUUUAUAACAGGAAACAACUUUAAGAGGACCCAGGGUACCUGAUUUUUAACACAUUCUGUAGCUGAAAAGCUAAGCCAUUUAAAUACUAAUUCUGCAAUAUCCUUCAUAGACCAGAUUCAGGAACCUGUACUUCGUGUGGUACUACUGAGUUCUCCGUGAAUAUGCUUCAUGUUAAUUACUUGCUUUAAUAAAGGUUAGGAGUGGAUGUAUCUGAAAUAAAUCCCAAUGGAAGAAACAAUCCUUUUAUCCCCUUUUACAUUUAUUUUCUUUUAUCAUUUAUCCUCAUAAUUCUGUGCCUUUGUGCUUUUUAACCAGCUAUGACAAUUGUGCAGAAUGUUAAAAAGGCAUAUCUUGGUUCAAUGUCAGGUAAUAAUAACCUUCUUUGGUAAUGAUCAAGAUAGAAGCUAAAUACUAACUGUUUUCAAAUUCUCUUUUUUGACUUUGCUGGCGGUAAUCUAAUAAGAUGACAAUGUAAUAUUAUUUUAAUAUUCAUGCACACAAUUAUAUGAAUAUGCAAAACUCAUGCUCCUAAUGCAGAACAACAAAUAUAAAAGGAGUCUUACUCUGGAUUUCACCCUUAUCUAUUCUAAAGUGUGUGGGGAUUUCAAAGUAAAGUAUUCUCUUGUGUAUAAUAUAUCUAGCUCAAUUUUGAAAUCUUUGACAAUGGCUAAAUGUAGUUGCAUAAGUAAUAUAUAGUGCAUUAACUUUCACAGUAAAUGUGCUCGUAUUGUGAGUUUAGUCAUAAUGGGUUUUUUCGAACACUGAUGAAUAUCUCUGCUUAACAAUUAUUUUUCUUCAGGGUCAUUAAAAUAUAUGUUUUUGGUUCCUCUUUUGUUUAUACAAAAGAAUGGUCACCAUGAAAUAUUUUCAACCCCAACCCCCUCUCCCAAUUCUAUUUGUGUUUAGUCUUUUUUUUUUUUUUUUUUUUGCAAUAAUGGAACCAGACAUUAAGUGCUUCUCAAAAUGGGUCAAAUAUCAAAAUGUAUGCUAAUUAUUUUUUCAAGGUAAAAAAUUUAUUCCCCAUAAAUCAGGUUUGGUUCCCCAAACCUGAUCCUACCACUUUGUAGAAUGAUUUUACUAAAACUUCAGUGGCAUAUACAGAAGAGAGUUAUAUCACACUUAAUAAUGCAAAAUUUAAUUUAAAAUAUGCAUUCAAUCAUUCUCUUUUCCUCACACAUAUCCUAAAAUAUUCUUAGUAACCAGCUGCUCCAUCUCCCUCUGAUUUCUUUUUUCGUUAGUAUCUCCUGACUAAUAAAUACUAGCCUUUGCGUCUUCUGAAACUCCUUCUCCCACAAACUUUCAGUGAAAAUUUCACUGCUUGUUUUAUUAAUUGGGGUCUGCUGGUACCAGUGGCCAUAUUUCAACUCCAAGUCAGUAAAAGGGAACUUAAUUUGUGUAGAUAACUCGGAAAUCCAGGAACUAGACUUGUGUUCAGGUAUAAACAGACCUUUCUACUCAGAACGUUGUGACUUUUCACCUUGGGUUGUGCUUUUUGACUUCACAGGCUUGGUUGUUUCCCACUGGAGAGAGUUACUCCUGGUGUCAGGAAAUGUGAUCCUCUGGCAAGAUCAGCAAGAGGCCAAAGCAUUUUCUAACUAUGAACUUUAAUGUUUAGUACGAGAAUAAUAACUUACUUACCUAUACAGACAGAAAUUUCAUAUUAAAUACUGAAUACAAUUUUAUUUAAGAAAAGCACUGCAUUUUAAUUUGUUUUUCAUAAGCCUUGAAGAAAAAUCAGUUUAAUAGAUUUUGAGAAGAGGUUUUCUUGGUCAUAAGGCAAUCAUCCUCUCAUUUCCCUCCUCGUCUCAAUAUUUUCUUUUUUCUUUUUAACGUUUAUUUGGUUUUGAGAGACUGAGAGCAGGGGAAGGGCAGAGAGAGGGGGACAGAGGAUCAAAAUGGGCUCUGCACUGACAGCAACGAGCCCAUUGUGGGGGGUCGAACUCAUAAACCAUGAGCUCAUGACCUGAAGUCCAACGCUCAACUGAUUGAGCAACCCAGGUACCCUUCUCGGUAUUUUCAAUACCUAAUAAUUUCCAAAAAAAUGAGUACUUAGCAAUUUGUGACUCCAUAUAAUGAUUGUGGUCAUUAAAAUACUCUCUCAUUUGCAUGUGCGGUCUAUAGAUGGCCUGUUUUGUACUAGCAGAAAUAGAAGAGUUGCAACACAAUUUCAUUCUUUGUUUCUUACUAUGAUUAUAUUUUCUCUAAAUAUUUACUGACGUGUAGAACUGCUGAAAUCCUUUUAUUUCAUGCACACAAUUAUAUGAAUUAUAUAAACAAUCCAUAUAAAUUCUGGAAAUUUUAUUUCAUUUGUCUUCCUUCCUUUCUUCUUUUAUUUCCUUUUUGAUAAAAAGCAGAAGAAUAUAGCCCACCAUUUCUGAACCCAUGUAAUCUUGAACAAUCCAAACCUAAGCCAUUAUUAUUACUAAUGAUAUAAAUAGACUAAAGAAAGUAAUGAAUAGAUGAAUAGAUUUCCAAGCAUUAAAUAUGAUCCUUUUAGAAAGACAGAAUAAAUGCUCACCUACUUCCCUUUAAAUUACCAAUUUUAUGAAUAAACACGUGGUGUCAUAUGUAGUUCAAAUGGUGUAAAAUGAGUUCUUUUCAUCCUUCUCUGGGUAUCACUAUGGACUGAUUGGUUUGUUUCAUAUUUUAUUUUAUUUUUUUAAAUAUUUAUUUUUGACAGAGAGAGAGAGAGACAGAGCAUGACUGGGGGAGGGGCAAAGA